ensembl:lncRNA
AUGUCCAUCAAGUGUAUGUACAUAUAUUUAUAUUUGUAUGCUUCGUCUCAGAAGCUUUUCUUCUCCUUUCUUAUCCAGGGGAGGAGGGAACUUCAGGAGAGCCUCUGCAGAAUCACCACAGGUGAAAAAGCACGGAGCUCCAGGUGGCGUCCCUCUGGUCUUCACAGCUUAAUCCUGGGACGUGCUGUCAUCAGGAGGUCCAGGACGGAGAGCCUGGACCAGGAGGUGGACGUCCUUCCUCCCAUACAGGUGAUUCAGGCACAGACCCAGGCUGGUGGUGCGUUCAUUAACCACAGGUACAGGUGUCGGGGGGCGCUGGAGAGCGUUCCCUCCCGCCUUCUCUCAUACUGUCGAUAGAUUGUCAUCAGAAAAUGUCCGGUUAAAAAAGGUGUUUAGUCAGACGUCUGAAACAAUAAAACCUGAAACCCAAAAAUGACCUGCUUUUCCGUGUCUGUUUAAAGACCCUCCAAUCGGGCUGCUCUUGGAAUGCCAUUAACUCUGAAACCUGAAUACAAAAGGAAUAUUCAUCUCUUCUUUCCCUCAACCCCCCCAAAAGAGAAAAAAGUUUCUGCACGGUGAUUCCAGCAAGAGAGGCAGCGCUUGAUGUGCUGUGAGUCACUUCCAGUAAGAACCAGAACCACGGGCCCCACAAGCCAAAGUAGUCAACAUUUUAAUGAAUAUGGGCAGAAAAACAAGGAACGGCAUCCAAAUGAAAGAAUAAUAAAGGCGCGUAAAGCCUAACAAGUCCGCCUUUGUUCUUCCACUCCACCCACAAGUUUGGCUGAACGCAGACGCUGCUGCAGCUCUGAGAGUUCCAUGCCCAUCGGCCUUCAAUCACAGGGGAUGUCUGAGUUUGACAGCAUAAAGUCUUUCUUCUAGAGCAAAAUCAGACCCCCCUAAGCAAGAGUGGAUGAGCUGUUAGUGCCCACGCGCUCCGCGGGGAGGCCGGCCGUGCACGGUAGUGCAGAGCAGCACAAAGCGGUGGUGAAACCGUCCGUGCGCCCUGCAACAGUCCACGUUUAGGGUCGCGGCUCCUCUCGCAGGCCGGGUCGCGGCAGGUAAGCCGCGGUGGCGUGUGAUGGAUCAAUUGGCGCCUCGCAGGAAGACGCCGCCACGGGGUCCGGCCGGAUCGAUGCUCAACAUUCUCUCCAGCGUGGCAGUCAAUACCGCACACUUAACGUGUCCGAAGGAGCAAAAGAACACCAAUAAUUGUUAUUAAUGUCUCGGCAAUCCCCGGGCGUCGCCUUAACGCGGGGCUCUCGUGUAAGAAUAUUCGGACACGUCACAUCUCGCCUAAAUUACCUCCUGAAAGGACGUAAUGGGAUUUCUACACGGCGUCGACGCGUUCAGGGAUUUAUUGACGUUCUGCACGCCAUUGUUUUGUGCUACCCGUUGGUCGGAUAUUGGCGCACGCUAGUUAGCAUACAGGCUAAUGUAGGAACCUGCCAGACAACUGAGGCUUGGAUUGGUGGGGAACAAUCGGGCCUUUGAUUCCUUUGAUCACGUCCUUUAUUGCAGGUUAACCUGUCCUUGUCCUGAGGACGCUGUUUCUAAUCAUGCUGUGAAGUCUUCAGUUUGCUCAGUUGUAUAGUUUGCCGUGUUUUUCAGGUCCAUCAUGCAGAC